rnacentral:rRNA from 1 species
UACGUAGGAGGCAAGCGUUAUCCGGAUUUACUGGGCGUAAAGAGGGUGUAGGCGGCUUUUCAAGUCGGAUGUAAAAUCUCCCGGCUUAACUGGGAGGGACCAUUCGAUACUGUUGGGCUAGAGUGCAGCAGAGGAAGACGGAAUUCCCGGUGUAGUGGUGAAAUGCGUAGAUAUCGGGAGGAACACCAGUGGCGAAGGCGGUCUUCUGGGCUGUUACUGACGCUGAGACCCAUAAGCGUGGGGAGCAAACAGGAUUAGAUACCCGCGUA